rnacentral:lncRNA from 1 species
AUUAUUUUGAAGAAGCAAAAAGUGGAUGACGUGGUGCCAAGAAAAUGGUAUAGAUAUGAUCUAGACUCAAUUAAGUUAGUCGCAGGCAAGUCUUUUAAAAAGUUUUACCGUUUAUUUUUGGACUAAUUUUAUAAUGUGCUGUGUUUGAAGAACAUUGUUUAUUAAAUAUUAAAUUAAAAUAUUUAUUUUCAGACGAAAAAGAAAACCUGUAAACAGUUUCUGUCUAUAUUUACUUAUUUAAGUGCCAGUGAAACGAAUGGUAGAAAAGAAGAAGCAUUCAAACUGUUUGCAAAACUUUUGGUUUGGAUACAAAAGACCAAGUGAAAAUGAUGCUGGAAAGCUGUUUGGCUAGAAAAUAUUAUUUUGAAAAAGCAAAUAGUGGAUGACGUGGUGCCAAUAAAAUGGUAUCGAUAUGAUCUAGUCUUAAUUAAGUUAGUCGCAGAAAUGUUCGCAAAAUUUUUGGUUUGGAUACAAAAAAACAAGUGAAAAUGAUACUAGAAAGACUGUUUACCGUUUAACUCCUGUCCCAAUCUAACCUAGUGGGUUCAAAAAGAAGGGACCGCGCUGAAAUAUGAGUGGAUUAAAAGGAUCAGACCUUUUUGAUUUAAUAGUCGAAGUUGUAACCAGCUAGAAGUCGUAACCUGCUCGUAUGAAAGAAUUUAUCGACGUGAAAUUGUUAAUUUUAUUCAACAACGCCAAGAAAC